rnacentral:rRNA from 1 species
GUUGGUGGCUCAAGCGAAGGGGUACACCCAGUCCCAUCCCGAACCUGGCAGUUAAGCCCUUCAGCGCCGAUGGUAGUUCACGGGCGACUGUGCGCAAGAGUAGGCCGCUGCCAACA